GUAGGUGGCAAGCGUUGUCCGGAAUUAUUGGGCGUAAAGCGCGCGCAGGCGGUUCUUUAAGUCUGAUGUGAAAGCCCACGGCUCAACCGUGGAGGGUCAUUGGAAACUGGAGAACUUGAGUACAGAAGAGGAAAGCGGAAUUCCACGUGUAGCGGUGAAAUGCGUAGAGAUGUGGAGGAACACCAGUGGCGAAGGCGGCUUUCUGGUCUGUAACUGACGCUGAGGCGCGAAAGCGUGGGGAGCAAACAGGGAUUAGAUACCCUGGUAGUCCACGCCGUAAACGAUGAGUGCUAGGUGUUAGGGGGGUUUCCGCCCCCUUAGUGCUGCAGCUAACGCAUUAAGCACUCCGCCUGGGGAGUACGGCCGCAAGGCUG
rnacentral:rRNA from 1 species